rnacentral:rRNA from 1 species
AUACGUAUGUCGCAAGCGUUAUCCGGAUUUAUUGGGCGUAAAGCGCGUCUAGGCGGCUUAGUAAGUCUGAUGUGAAAAUGCGGGGCUCAACCCCGUAUUGCGUUGGAAACUGCUAAACUAGAGUACUGGAGAGGUAGGCGGAACUACAAGUGUAGAGGUGAAAUUCGUAGAUAUUUGUAGGAAUGCCGAUGGGGAAGCCCUCCUACUGGACAGAAACUCACGCUAAAGCGCGAAAGCGGGGGUAGCAAAAAGGAUUAGAUUCCCUGGUAAUCCACGCCGUAAACGAUGAUUACUAGGUGUUGGGGGUUGAACCUCAGCGCCCAAGCUAACGCGAUAAGUAAUCCGCCUGGGGAGUACGUACGCAAGUAUGAAACUCAAAGGAAUUGACGGGG